GGGUUGUGAGGUUAAGCGACUAAGCGUACACGGUGGAUGCCCUGGCAGUCAGAGGCGAUGAAGGACGUGCUAAUCUGCGAUAAGCGUCGGUAAGGUGAUAUGAACCGUUAUAACCGGCGAUUUCCGAAUGGGGAAACCCAGUGUGUUUCGACACACUAUCAUUAACUGAAUCCAUAGGUUAAUGAGGCGAACCGGGGGAACUGAAACAUCUAAGUACCCCGAGGAAAAGAAAUCAACCGAGAUUCCCCCAGUAGCGGCGAGCGAACGGGGAGGAGCCCAGAGCCUGAAUCAGUGUGUGUGUUAGUGGAAGCGUCUGGAAAGGCGCGCGAUACAGGGUGACAGCCCCGUACACAAAAAUGCACAUACUGUGAGCUCGAUGAGUAGGGCGGGACACGUGGUAUCCUGUCUGAAUAUGGGGGGACCAUCCUCCAAGGCUAAAUACUCCUGACUGACCGAUAGUGAACCAGUACCGUGAGGGAAAGGCGAAAAGAACCCCGGCGAGGGGAGUGAAAAAGAACCUGAAACCGUGUACGUACAAGCAGUGGGAGCCUC
rnacentral:rRNA from 1 species